GUGCCAGCAGCCGCGGUAAUACGUAGGGGGCAAGCGUUGUCCGGAAUCACUGGGCGUAAAGCGCGCGCAGGCGGCGAUCUGCGUCCGGGGUGAAAGCCCAGAGCUCAACUCUGGGACUGCCUUGGAUACGGGGUCGCUUGAGGAUCGGAGAGGCAAGGGGAAUUCCACGUGUAGCGGUGAAAUGCGUAGAGAUGUGGAGGAACACCUGUGGCGAAGGCGCCUUGCUGGCCGAUUUCUGACGAUGAGGCGCGAAAGCGUGGGGAGCAAACAGGAUUAGAAACCCCAGUAUCC
rnacentral:rRNA from 1 species